AAGGCGUAUUCCGAAAAGCCUAAAUAGAGUAGGAG
rfam:Kordia algicida OT-1 1103813601120 genomic scaffold, whole genome shotgun sequence.